AGUACAAGUGUGCUCGUGAUUCGUGUUACAGUAGCCGGGAUAAAGGGUCACGAUCCCACGAGUUUGAACUAAUUCCAAAAUCCCAUCCUCAAUUCAAAUUGCAGGCUGCAACUCGCCUGCAUGAAGUCGAAAUUGUUAGUAAUCACCGAUCAACCAUACGGUGGUGAAUUCGUUCCU
rnacentral:rRNA from 1 species